GGGCGAUUAGCUCAGUUGGUAGAGCGCCUGCCUUACAAGCAGGAUGUCACUGGUUCGAGCCCAGUAUCGCCCA
rnacentral:tRNA from 1 species